rnacentral:lncRNA from 1 species
GUGGAUAACGAAUGGUAUAUUUUUGGAGAUUGUGAGUAGAGAUGAAAUUAUAAUUUUUUCCCCACCACUUUGAGGUAAGAAUACAAGCAAUUUUCUUGAUAACAAGACUACAGGAGAACACCUCCAUUUAAACAACCCCAAGGAGUAAUUUUGCUUUAAGUUAAUCAAUGAGACUCUACCCCUAUUUCUAGCAAAUCCCAUAAGAAAACAUUAACUUCAGCUGCAAGAGAAAAUGAGUAUAAUUACAUCACUACACCAACAUAUAACCAUCUGACCCAAGAAGUAAGAAAACAACAAAUAUCAAGUCAAAGACAAUUUUGUCCACUUUCAUCAACUCCAUCAGAAGACAAUAAUCUCCAUUACAAGGGCUAAAUCUACAAAGGCAAUGAUUAUACAUAUUGCAACUUUCUUUUCUUUAAUGAACUAUACAUGGCCAUUCCAACACAUCAAACUCACAUGUUACCCUAAGAUUGUUGAUACAACAAAAACAAAUCUGAGAACGGAAAUAAAACAAACCAGAGGAACCAUAAGAAAUGAACAAACAUAACCAGAAACAGAUGGUACAAAUAUGUUUUUUUAUUCCUUUCUAAUAUCGAAUCAACAAAAAAGUGAAUAUAACAGUUUAUAAAAGCUUAAAAUUGGAACUUUUAUAGGAAUCACACACACACAUAUCAGAUGACACGUGUACAUACAUACAAAUCAAAUCCUAUACACACAUAUGCAUAUCAGAUCAUACUUGAUACACCUUUGUGUUGGAGCUUUGUCCCAGAUUGCUAUAUUGCAAACAUUUUGGUACCACUACUUUUGAUCUUGCAAGAAUAUACAGAUCCUUGAGAUAUCGCAAGAAAACUCAAAUUUUUGUACUAAAGAAAUAUAUGAAGGUAAUUAUUAGAAGUUGAAUGCACUAAAACAACAUCUAACCACACCAACUCCUAUAUUUCUCCUGCCUACCAGAGUUAUGAUAAUUUUGCAGGCCUACACAAAACUAUCACAUUUGAUGGUAACCAGAGAAAUACCGGAAUGCCCUCAAUUUCAAAUUUUGCACCAAAACGUAAAAAGUUUGGGCCAGUAUGCCUAAGUGGGGUAAGUAGAGCCCAAAACUUGCACAAUUGGAUUAAACGACAAAAUAGCAACACCAAUUAGCAAUCAGGAACAAACUGAGACUUCAUCAAAAUAACAACACCAAAUAGCAAGAAAAAUUAGCAAUCAAUUCCAUCUCGAAUAUUGAUCAUUAAGAUAAAAGACAAUACCCAUGCACAUAAAAGGGUGAGAUUUUCUAUUUCUUGCUUAUAUAAUAGCAAAACUUUGAGAAAAAACAAGGAUUGAGCCAAGAGUGUUAUUAACAUAACUUUAACAAAUAGAAGCAUAAUCCAAAACACAAAGAAUGCAAAGAAUAUAAAAGAAAAACUUACAUGUGGAUUACACGAAGACUAUUUUAAUAUGGUCAAUAAAGAUAAACUUUUUACCUGAAAAUAUAAUUUUUUUUUGUUAUGUUCAACUGAGAAGCAACUAAUUAACAUAAAAUAAAUCAACACAAAAAAUCAAGUAAGCAACAAAUAAACCCUGCAAAAAGAUCAAAUAAAACAUCGAACAUCAAAACAUGUAUUAUUAAACAAUAGAAAUCAAAACCAAAACCAACCUCAAAUUCAUUCAUGUACUCAAAAGAUUUUCAAAUAUCCUGAAUAAUAUUAAAUAAACACUAAUGAAAAAUAAUUAAAACCCCAUUAAUGUGCAAUAUAGAAUAUAUAUAUGAAGAACAUCUAUAUUGAAUCAAAAAUACCUAUUUUCAUCAGAUUAUGACAACCCACAUAUCUAUAGGUAACUAAAAACGAUGGAAACUGAUGUUUGUGUUCAAAAUCUUUGAAGUUAGUUAAAGGGAUGGAAAACUUACAUAAAUGAAGAAUAAAUCAAUGGUGCCUUCUCUUUGAACUUCUUCAAAGCUGAGACACAAUUUUGAGAAUUUCAACUGGAUCUAUUAAAAAGCGAGAGAUAGGGAUUCCAUUACCUAGAUGAGAGAAAAAAUAAUCAUGAAAAUUAUCUUGUUAGUUUGAACCCAAUUUCAACAAUAUUCGAUUCACCUUAAAGGUGAAGACCAAAAAUCAAAGCAGUCAAGACCUACCAGGGGAGGGGGAACAAUAGCAAAAACGAUCAUGGGCUUCCUAGAAUACUGAACCUGUCAACAAAUCAAAGCAACCCAAAAACAUUGAAAAAAUAAUUAAGGGUUUCCAUUAACGGUGAUUGUGAUUAUGCAGAGAAAGAAGGCGGUAGGGAAAUCAACGGUUUUGAAAACUACCUAGUGGGCUAGAGUGGGUGAUGUUGAUUUGGUGACGACGAUGCUUAGUGGUUGUGGUAGCGGUGGUGGGGGGUGCAUUAACAGUGGUUUAGAGAUGCACACCUUAAUCACUGCUAACCACCAUCCUCCACCACUAAAAAUAUCAACCUGUUACAACCACUUUAAACCACCGAGACCACCUUCCUGAACCACCCCUUUCCAACCGAUGAACACCUCAAUGCCAUCAAGAACCAACACCACAACCUUCAUCGGACCAAGAAAGAAGAAAAUAAGAAGAAGUGAUGGUGCUCUUGAUGUAUUGUGAAUCAAAUGUGAAUGCUUGAAUAUAUCGGUAACUGAAAUCAAUCACAAAGAUGAAGUCUUUAAUGAUUCAGAAUGAUUCAACGACGACGAAUGUAUGGUUACACGGUGGCAUUCUUUCAGAGACGAUACAUCGGUGGUUCAUGGGUUUUCCCAUCGGGAUCGGUUAUGGGAGAGCAACACCAUGUUGACCGAACUGAGAGAGGAGAUGUCAUAUAGAGUGCAUCUCCUAUUAAUCGUUCUAAUCCGCUAAAAUACCGAUUCAAUUUUGGCUGAUUCAUGGUUUAAAAUUCAAAAUCUGAGUUUUGACUUUUUCAAAAUAUUAGAUACUAGAUAAGAAUUG